rnacentral:rRNA from 1 species
AGUGAACGCUGGCGGUAGGCCUGACACAUGCAAGUCGAACGGCAGCACAGAGGAGCUUGCUCCUUGGGUGGCGAGUGGCGGACGGGUGAGGAAUACAUCGGAAUCUACUCUGUCGUGGGGGAUAACGUAGGGAAACUUACGCUAAUACCGCAUACGACCUACGGGUGAAAGCAGGGGAUCUUCGGACCUUGCGCGAUUGAAUGAGCCGAUGUCGGAUUAGCUAGUUGGCGGGGUAAAGGCCCACCAAGGCGACGAUCCGUAGCUGGUCUGAGAGGAUGAUCAGCCACACUGGAACUGAGACACGGUCCAGACUCCUACGGGAGGCAGCAGUGGGGAAUAUUGGACAAUGGGCGCAAGCCUGAUCCAGCCAUACCGCGUGGGUGAAGAAGGCCUUCGGGUUGUAAAGCCUUUUUGUUGGGAAAGAAAUCCAUCUGGUUAAUACCCGGGUGGGAUGACGGUACCCAAAGAAUAAGCACCGGCUAACUUCGUGCCAGCAGCCGCGGUAA